rnacentral:rRNA from 1 species
GAGUUUGAUCUUGGCUCAGGAUGAACGCUGGCGGCGUGCCUAACACAUGCAAGUCGAACGGAUCCAUAUUGAAACCUAGUGAUGUAUGGAUUAGUGGCGGACGGGUGAGUAACGCGUGGAUAACCUGCCGUAUACAGGGGAUAACACUUAGAAAUAGGUGCUAAUACCGCAUAAGCGCACGGUUCCGCAUGGAACAGUGUGAAAAACUCCGGUGGUAUACGAUGGAUCCGCGUCUGAUUAGCCAGUUGGCGGGGUAACGGCCCACCAAAGCGACGAUCAGUAGCCGGCCUGAGAGGGUGAACGGCCACAUUGGGACUGAGACACGGCCCAAACUCCUACGGGAGGCAGCAGUGGGGAAUAUUGCACAAUGGGGGAAACCCUGAUGCAGCGACGCCGCGUGAGUGAAGAAGUAUCUCGGUACGUAAAGCUCUAUCAGCAGGGAAGAAAAUGACGGUACCUGACUAGGAAGCCCGGCUAACUACGUGCCAGCAGCAGCCGCCGU